GUUGUUCGGAAUUACUGGGCGUAAAGGGCUCGUAGGCGGCCAACUAAGUCGGACGCGAAAUCCCUCGGCUUAACCGGGGAACUGCGUCCGAUACUGGAUGGCUUGAGUAUGGGAGAGGGAUGCGGAAUUCCAGGUGUAGCGGUGAAAUGCGUAGAUAUCUGGAGGAACACCGGUGGCGAAGGCGGCAUCCUGGACCAUUACUGACGCUGAGGAGCGAAAGCCAGGGGAGCAAACAGG
rnacentral:rRNA from 1 species